rnacentral:rRNA from 1 species
AAAUUGAAGAGUUUGAUCAUGGCUCAGAUUGAACGCUGGCGGCAGGCCUAACACAUGCAAGUCGAGCGGAAACGAGUUAUCUGAACCUUCGGGGGACGAUAACGGCGUCGAGCGGCGGACGGGUGAGUAAUGCCUAGGAAAUUGCCUUGAUGUGGGGGAUAACCAUUGGAAACGAUGGCUAAUACCGCAUAAUGCCUACGGGCCAAAGAGGGGGACCUUCGGGCCUCUCGCGUCAA